rnacentral:rRNA from 1 species
GUGGGGAAUUUUGGACAAUGGGCGCAAGCCUGAUCCAGCAAUGCCGCGUGCAGGAAGAAGGCCUUCGGGUUGUAAACUGCUUUUGUACGGAACGAAACGGUCCUGGCUAAUAUCCGGGGCUAAUGACGGUACCGUAAGAAUAAGCACCGGCUAACUACGUGCCAGCAGCCGCGGUAAUACGUAGGGUGCGAGCGUUAAUCGGAAUUACUGGGCGUAAAGCGUGCGCAGGCGUGGCUGUAAGACAGGCGUGAAAUCCCCGGGCUCAACCUGGGAAUUGCGCUUGUGACUGCAGUGCUGGAGUGCGGCAGAGGGGGAUGGAAUUCCGCGUGUAGCAGUGAAAUGCGUAGAUAUGCGGAGGAACACCGAUGGCGAAGGCAAUCCCCUGGGCCUGCACUGACGCUCAUGCACGAAAGCGUGGGGAGCAAACAGGAUUAAAAACCCUAGUAGUCC